AGGUAAGUUCAGUUAGUAAAUAAUGAUUAAAUUUAUCUACCAUAUAUCCCUAGCGCAAGUAGCAAGGAGCUUGAUGAUUGGUAACUGAGAUCCUAAAUUUGAAGUCUAGUCAUUCAUAUUUCUAUCUGUUUUUACUUUUCCAAAAAAUUAACAAAGUAGUAUGCUACCUUUCUCUCUCUUAAAAAAAAAAUUAUUAAUCUAAUAAAUUUAUCUGUUAAUGCUAAUAUCAAAAUCUACUUCAUUAAUA
rnacentral:lncRNA from 1 species